CAGACACACACAGUCAGACACAAACACACACACAAACACACACAGACACACACAGUCACAUACACACACACAGUCAGACACAAACACACACACACACACAGUCAGACACAUACACAGACACAAACACAGUCAGACACAAACACACACACACACAGUCAGACACAUACACAGACACAAACACACACACAGUCACACACACAGACACAAACACACACACACACACUCACAAACACACACAGUCAGACACAAACACACACACACAUUAACUUUUUUUUUAAUUUAAAUCCCCCCCCAACCUCCUUACCUUUGGGAGUGCUGGGGGGGGGGGGUCUCU